rnacentral:siRNA from 1 species
UAUGUGGUGCUCGAUGGUUCA